rnacentral:rRNA from 1 species
AUUGAACGCUGGCGGCAGGCUUAACACAUGCAAGUCGAACGAUGACUAACUAGCUUGCUAGUUAUGAUUAGUGGCGGACGGGUGAGUAACAUUUAGGAAUCUGCCUAGUAGUGGGGGAUAGCUCGGGGAAACUCGAAUUAAUACCGCAUACGACCUACGGGUGAAAGGGGGCGCAAGCUCUUGCUAUUAGAUGAGCCUAAAUCAGAUUAGCUAGUUGGUGGGGUAAAGGCCCACCAAGGCGACGAUCUGUAACUGGUCUGAGAGGAUGAUCAGUCACACCGGAACUGAGACACGGUCCGGACUCCUACGGGAGGCAGCAGUGGGGAAUAUUGGACAAUGGGGGCAACCCUGAUCCAGCCAUGCCGCGUGUGUGAAGAAGGCCUUUUGGUUGUAAAGCACUUUAAGCAGGGAGGAGAGGCUAAUGGUUAAUACCCAUUAGAUUAGACGUUACCUGCAGAAUAAGCACCGGCUAACUCUGUGCCAGCAGCCGCGGUAAUACAGAGGGUGCGAGCGUUAAUCGGAAUUACUGGGCGUAAAGCGAGUGUAGGUGGCUCAUUAAGUCACAUGUGAAAUCCCCGGGCUUAACCUGGGAACUGCAUGUGAUACUGGUGGUGCUAGAAUAUGUGAGAGGGAAGUAGAAUUCCAGGUGUAGCGGUGAAAUGCGUAGAGAUCUGGAGGAAUACCGAUGGCGAAGGCAGCUUCCUGGCAUAAUAUUGACACUGAGAUUCGAAAGCGUGGGUAGCAAACAGGAUUAGAUACCCUGGUAGUCCACGCCGUAAACGAUGUCUACUAGCCGUUGGGGUCCUUGAGACUUUAGUGGCGCAGUUAACGCGAUAAGUAGACCGCCUGGGGAGUACGGCCGCAAGGUUAAAACUCAAAUGAAUUGACGGGGGCCCGCACAAGCGGUGGAGCAUGUGGUUUAAUUCGAUGCAACGCGAAGAACCUUACCUGGUCUUGACAUAGUGAGAAUCCUGCAGAGAUGCGGGAGUGCCUUCGGGAAUUCACAUACAGGUGCUGCAUGGCUGUCGUCAGCUCGUGUCGUGAGAUGUUGGGUUAAGUCCCGCAACGAGCGCAACCCUUUUCCUUAUUUGCCAGCGGGUUAAGCCGGGAACUUUAAGGAUACUGCCAGUGACAAACUGGAGGAAGGCGGGGACGACGUCAAGUCAUCAUGGCCCUUACGACCAGGGCUACACACGUGCUACAAUGGUAGGUACAGAGGGUUGCUACACAGCGAUGUGAUGCUAAUCUCAAAAAGCCUAUCGUAGCCCGGAUUGGAGUCUGCAACUCGACUCCAUGAAGUCGGAAUCGCUAGUAAUCGCAGAUCAGAAUGCUGCGGUGAAUACGUUCCCGGGCCU